AAGNCNAAGACGNNGGAAAGUAACCCCNGCCUCGGGGGANUANUGGUUCGCAAGGGCCNGNNAGCUAAAANGGAAAUNGACNGGGGGUCUCNAGAAAAAGCCGGUGGAANCAUGNGGCAUUAAUUGNGAGGCUAACGCCGAAGAACCCUUAUCGUGGGCUGGACAUGUNCGCAAAGAGCUNCCCGAGUAGGGNCACGGAAACGCACCCCCAACGGUAUCCAGUNCCGGAAGGUAGUANCAGGUGCUGCAUGGCUGUCGUCAGCUCGNGUCGGUGAGAUGUCGGGUUAAGUCCCCAUAACGAGCGAAACCCUUGUUUCCAGUGGCCAGCGGGUUAUGNCCGGGGACUCUGGAAAGACUGCCGGUGUUAAACCGGAGGAAGGCGGGGAUGACGUCAAGUCCUCAUGGCCUUUAUGCCCAGGGCUGCACACGUGCUACAAUGGCGUGAACAAAGGGAAGUAAACCCGCGAGGGGGAGCCAAUCUCAGAAAACACGCCCCAGUUCAGAUUGCAGGCUGCAACUCGCCUGCAUGAAGUUGGAAUCGCUAGUAAUCGCGGGUCAGCAACACCNCGGUGAAUGUGUUCCUGAGCCUUGUACACACCGCCCGUCAAGCCACGAAAGGGAGGGGCGUCCGAAGUCGGUGCGCGAACCGUAAGGAAGCAGCCGCCGAAGAUGAAACUCCUGAUUGGGACUAAGUCGUAANCAAGGUACC
rnacentral:rRNA from 1 species